GACUGAGCGGCGGACGGGUGAGUAACGCGUGGGUAACCUGCCUCAUACAGGGGGAUAACAGUUAGAAAUGGCUGCUAAUACCGCAUAAGACCACAGCACCGCAUGGUGCAGGGGUAAAAACUCCGGUGGUAUGAGAUGGACCCGCGUCUGAUUAGCUAGUUGGUGGGGUAACGGCCUACCAAGGCGACGAUCAGUAGCCGACCUGAGAGGGUGACCGGCCACAUUGGGACUGAGACACGGCCCAAACUCCUACGGGAGGCAGCAGUGGGGAAUAUUGCACAAUGGGGGAAACCCUGAUGCAGCGACGCCGCGUGAGCGAAGAAGUAUUUCGGUAUGUAAAGCUCUAUCAGCAGGGAAGAAAAUGACGGUACCUGACUAAGAAGCCCCGGCUAACUACGUGCCAGCAGCCGCGGUAAUACGUAGGGGGCAAGCGUUAUCCGGAUUUACUGGGUGUAAAGGGAGCGUAGACGGCGAGGCAAGUCUGAUGUGAAAACCCGGGGCUCAACCCCGUGACUGCAUUGGAAACUGUUUUGCUUGAGUGCCGGAGAGGUAAGCGGAAUUCCUAGUGUAGCGGUGAAAUGCGUAGAUAUUAGGAGGAACACCAGUGGCGAAGGCGGCUUACUGGACGGCAACUGACGUUGAGGCUCGAAAGCGUGGGGAGCAAACAGGAUUAGAUACCCUGGUAGUCCACGCCGUAAA
rnacentral:rRNA from 1 species